rnacentral:rRNA from 1 species
UAGGGAAUCUUCGGCAAUGGACGAAAGUCUGACCGAGCAACGCCGCGUGAGUGAAGAAGGUUUUCGGAUCGUAAAACUCUGUUGUUAGAGAAGAACAAGGACGUUAGUAACUGAACGUCCCCUGACGGUAUCUAACCAGAAAGCCACGGCUAACUACGUGCCAGCAGCCGCGGUAAUACGUAGGUGGCAAGCGUUGUCCGGAUUUAUUGGGCGUAAAGCGAGCGCAGGCGGUUUCUUAAGUCUGAUGUGAAAGCCCCCGGCUCAACUGGGGAGGGUCAUUAGAAACUGGGAGACUUGAGUGCAGAAGAGGAGAGUGGAAUUCCAUGUGUAGCGGUGAAAUGCGUAGAUAUAUGGAGGAACACCAGUGGCGAAGGCGGCUCUCUGGUCUGUAACUGACGCUGAGGCUCGAAAGCGUGGGGAGCAAACAGG